AACAACUUCCUUAACAAGGAGGUUAUUUGGUUGGGAAAAUGAUGCAGCUUUCUUCCUCAGCAAGCCCAGAGAAGUCUUCUCAGUACAAACACUAAAGUGUAUUUUCCAGAGGAACAGAACCAAUAGCAUUCAGUUAUAAGAAGGUUCAUUGGAUUAGCAUAUAUAAUUAUAUGCAGAGAUAAAUCCACAAUGACCAACUGCAGACUGAAACAAAUAUCAGUUUAGUUCAAGAAACUGGAAGCCUCAGAACAAAGAAAAGAGGCCAAAAGUAUCGUGGCAGUCUGAAGCUGCAGACCUGGAAUUCUGCUAGAGAGGCAUGGUGGAAGUUCAUGUUCAAAGGCGGACAAAGUGAUGGACCCUAUGGACAAUAAUCUGCAAGAAAUGUCAUGGAUAAAGAAUGAUUAUGUCCUGGCCUGUAUAAUGAGUAGCACCAUGUAUGGAACCCACUUUCUGCUUGUGAGAUGGAAUGUUGGGAUGUUUCAUAGCUUGGGCUGAGGCUUCUUUAACUGUUGUUUUACUUUCUCUUCAUCCCCAAAUGAAAGACAGGGGAGACACCAGUACAUAAAAUAAAGGAGGACAGAUUG
rnacentral:lncRNA from 1 species